UCCCUUGGUCGCGCCCGACCAUCCGGUGA
rnacentral:sRNA from 1 species